CCUAUAUCUUUUUAAAUAAGCCAAAUCUUUGAAAAGCCGAAAAAUUACCUUUUUCCAUCAUACACUGACAAUGUAUUUGAUUCACUACCACUAUCAGAGGGAUUUCUUGUUUUUCCUUCCACAUUCUUGAAAUGACCAGUUUCAUAGCCAUAAAAAAACUGAAUAGUCAAAAAUGUGCCAUUUUUAUUAAUGUUAUCCAAGUUUAGAUGUAAAAUGGCUUUUUCUG